UCAAAUGAAUUAAGGCGUACGGUGGAGACCUAGGCACUCAGAGACGAAGAAGGGCGCAGAUACCGGCGAUACGCUUCGGGGAGCUGGCAACAAGCUUUGAUCCGAAGAUUCCCGAAUAGGGCAACCUCAUAGAACUACCUAUAUAAUUCAUAGUUAGGUAAGAGGCAACCCAGUGAACUGAAACAUCUAAGUAGCUGGAGGAAAAGAAAGCAAACGCGAUUCCCGUAGUAGCGGCGAGCGAACCGGGAACAGCCUAAACCUAUGUCGCAAGAUGUAGGGGUCGUGGGAGGACAACAUAAAAAUCGCUAUUUUUAAUACGAAGCAGCUGAAUCCUGCACCAUAGAUGGUGAAAGUCCAGUAGUAAAAAGAAAAUUUAGAUUUUUGUCUAAUCCCGAGUAGCAUGGGGCACGUGAAAUCCCGUGUGAAUCAGCGAGGACCACCUCGUAAGGCUAAAUACUCCUGAGUGACCGAUAGCGAAAUAGUACCACGAGGGAAAGGUGAAAAGAACCCCUGUUGGGGAGUGAAAUAGAACAUGAAACCGUAUGCUGACAAGCAGUGGGAGCAAGAAUGCUUGUGACCGCGUGCCUGUUGAAGAAUGAGCCGGCGACUUAUAGGGAGUGGCUGGGUUAAGGAGUAAAAUCCGGAGCCCAAGCGAAAGCGAGUCUGAAUAGGGCGCAAAUGGUCACUUCUUAUGGACCCGAACCCGGGUGAUCUAUUCAUGGCCAGGAUGAAGCUUGGGUAACACCAAGUGGAGGUCCGAACCGACCGAUGUUGAAAAAUCGGCGGAUGAGCUGUGAAUAGGGGAGAAAUUCCAAUCGAACUCGGAGCUAGCUGGAUCUCCCCGAAAUGCGUUGAGGCGCAGCGGUAACGAUGAACUGUCUUGGGGUAAAGCUACUGUUUCGAUGCGGGCUGCGAAAGCGGUACCAAGUCGUGGCAAACUCAGAAUACAAGACAUGUCUUCCGUAAACCAGUGAGACAGUGGGGGAUAAGCUUCAUUGUCAAGAGGGAAACAGCCCAGAUCACCAGCUAAGGCCCCUAAAUGGUCACUAAGUGGAAAAGGAUGUGAGAAUGCUGAAACAACCAGGAGGUUUGCUUAGAAGCAGCCACCCUUCAAAGAGUGCGUAAUAGCUCACUGGUAAAGCGUUCUUGCGCCGAUAAUGGCCGGGACUAAGUGACCUGCCGAAGCUGUGAUAUAAUUUAUUAUAUAAAUUAUAGGUAGGGGAGCGUUCCGCUCUCGGGUGAAGUUUUCACGUAAGUGGGGAUGGACGAAGCGGAAGUGAGAAUGUCGGCUUGAGUAACGAAAACAUUGGUGAGAAUCCAAUGCCCCGAAAACCUAAGGGUUCCUCCACUAGGUUCGUCCAUGGGGGGUUAGUCAGGACCUAAGACUAGGCCAAACGGCGUCGUCGAUGGAAAACAGGUUAAUAUUCCUGUACGAGUUAAAUUAUGAUCUGAGGGACGAAGGAGGCUAAGCUAGAACUGUUUUUGGAUUGCAGUGGAAGCGUUUAGACGUUGAGAGAUAGAAAAAAAGCUAUCUUGAGUGGAGACGUGAUCCCUAUUUGAUGGUUCGCCGUCGAGUAGCUAGUGAUGUCAUACUUCCAAGAAAAGCUCAUACAUCUUUAUAAUUUAAUGACCUGUACCUGAAACCGACACAGGUAGGUUGGUAGAGAAUACCAAGGGGCGCGAGAGAACUCUCUCUAAGGAACUCGGCAAACUGGCCCCGUAACUUCGGAAGAAGGGGCACCCUUUUUUUAAAAAAAAAAAGAGGGUCGCAGAUACCAGGCCCAGGCAACUGUUUAUCAAAAACACAGGUCUCCGCAACGUCGUAAGACAAUAUAUGGGGGCUGACGCCUGCCCAGUGCCGGAAGGUUAAGGAAGUUGGUUAUUAGCUAUAUGUUAAGAAGCUGACGACCGAAGCCCCGGUGAACGGCGGUCGUAACUAUAACGAUCCUAAGGUAGCGAAAUUCAUUGCCAAGUAAGUUUUGGCCUGCACGAAAGGCGUAAUGAUCUGGGCGCUGUCUCGGAGAGAGACUCGGUGAAAUAGACUUGUCCGUGAAGAUGCGGACUACCUACACCUGGACAGAAAGACCCUAUGAAGCUUGACUGUAUCCUGGAAUUGGGUUCGGGCUUUUCUUGCGCAGCCUAGGUGGGAGGCUAUGAUGAUUUUCUUCCGGGAAAAUUGGAGCCAACAUUGAGAGACCACUCUGGAAGAGCUAGAAUCCUAAUGGUGAUCUUUGAAUCAAGACACUUGACAGUUUCAGGUGGGCAGUUUAUUUGGGGCGAAUGCCUCCUAAAAGGUAACGGAGGCGUGCAAAGGUUCCCUCAGUCUGGACGGAAAUCAGACAUUGAGUGUAAAGGCAAAAGGGAGCUUGACUGCAAGACCUACAAGUCGAGCAGGGGCGAAAGCCGGCCUUAGUGAUCCGACGGUGCCGCGUGGAAGGGCCGUCGCUCAACGGAUAAAAGUUACUCUAGGAUAACAGGCUGAUCUUCCCCAAGAGUUCACAUCGACGGGAAGGUUUGGCACCUCGAUGUCGGCUCAUCACAUCCUCGGUCUGUAGUAGGUCCGAAGGGUUGGGCUGUUCGCCCAUUAAAGUGGUACGUGAGCUGGGUUCAAAACGUCGUGAGACAGUUUGGUCCAUAUCCGGUGUAGGCGUUAGAGCAUUGAGAGUAGCCUUUCAUAGUACGAGAGGACCUGAAAGGACAUGCCAAUUGUGUACCAGUUCUCAUUCCAAUGGGAAACGCUGGGUAGCUACGCAUGGAUAGAUAACUGCUGAAAGCAUCUAAGUAGGAAGCUAAACUCAAGAUGAGUGCUCUCUAAGGCCGCGGCUAGACAAGCCGUUAUAUAGGUAUCAGGUGUACAGUCAGCAAUGGCUUUAGCCGAGAUAUACUAAAGGCCGUUUGAUUUUGACCU
rnacentral:rRNA from 1 species